rnacentral:rRNA from 1 species
UGAGGAAUAUUGAUCAAUGGGCGGGAGCCUGAACCAGCCAAGCCGCGUGAGGGAAGAAGGCCCUAUGGGUCGUAAACCUCUUUUGUCAGGGAACAAAAGCGAGUAUGUAUACUGGUCUGAGUGUACCUGAAGAAAAAGCAUCGGCUAACUCCGUGCCAGCAGCCGCGGUAAUACGGAGGAUGCGAGCGUUAUCCGGAUUUAUUGGGUUUAAAGGGUGCGUAGGCGGCGGUGCAAGUCAGCGGUAAAAGCCCGGGGGCUCAACCCCGGCGAGCCGUUGAAACUGCAGUGCUAGAGAAGGCGAGAGGUACGCGGAAUGCGCAGUGUAGCGGUGAAAUGCUUAGAUAUUGCGCAGAACUCCGAUUGCGAAGGCAGCGUACUGGCGCCUGACUGACGCUGAGGCACGAAAGCGUGGGGAUCGAACAGGAUUAGAUACC